AAUCUCGAAAUAGAUUCGAUACUGUUAAAAUCAGAUGUACAAUUUUCAGGUAUCGACGCUAAGAAUGGUUGAAAUUACAUUCUACAAUUUACUUCAGACGUUAUCGUUCACCUUUCCCAUGUUGCUAUUCUUUUUACGAUACGUUGGAUUCGUCAUCUCUCUUCCGUCAGUGAAACAUUUCUUGGAAAAUUUUGGACGCGAUUACGAUGCGGUCAAAGAUCCUAUCGAAGCGGAUUUGUUUAUGAAACAAGCAAUAGAAGCGAGACGCGUGGUCAUGGUAUUGCUAGGUAAAGAUGUCCAACCGUGUGGUCUCCGAUUAAGCUAAACAUUCUUGUGAAAUGUAUACAAGUGAACAUGCGCAUUGAAAAUAAUUAUUCUAUAAUUGAAUGCACGAUCAA